CCAUUGUCCUCUAGGAGAGAGCUGUCCACCCAGGUGAGAUGAAGGCAUUAGCAGGGAAGGCAGUGAGAAGCAGUCAGACUCUGCAUUAUCCCGCUUCCUAACGGAUUGGAUGUAGGGUACAAGGGAAAGGAAGAGUCUAGAAUGACUCCAGAGUGAUACAUUAUAAUAUGUAGCUUUAAACAUGCCAACAAAGGGUUCCUCCCUGCUACAUUCUUUCUAAUUCCAGGGCUUUGGGGUCACUUUUAAAGAAGGCAGCUUUGGAAUGUAAAGAAGUAACACAAGGCUGGCAGGAUGGUUCCUGGGCUCUAAUUGGUUGCAUGUUCAUCCUGAGACUUUAAGGAAAGAAACACAAAAGCCACAGGACCGAGCUGGCUGUGGUGGCUCACACCCGUAAUCCCGGCACUUUGGGAGGCCAAGGCAGGCAGAUCGCUUAAGGUCAGGAGUUUAAGACCAGCCUGGCCAACAUGGUGAAAGCCUGUCUCUACUAAAAAUAUAAAAACUUACCCAGGUCAGGUAGUGCAUACCUGUAAUCCCAGCUACUCGGGAGGCUGAGGUGGGAAGAUCACUUGAAACCGGAAGGCAGAGGUUGCAGUGAGCAGAGAUGGCACCAUUGCACUCCAGCCUGGGCGAUGAGUGAGACUUCAUCUCAAAAAAGACAAAACCACGGGACUGAACUGAAGUGAAUGUGAUCUUGACAAGAGGUCAGAUCAUUCUCUCUGGUGAGAAAUAUCUCUGGGUAAAGUGAACAUAAAAUAAAGGCCACAACCAGCAUCAAGGUGUGUCAGAAACCCAUUCAUUUGACUUUAAACAGGCUGCUUUUUAAAAAAUCUUUUUUUUUCCAACCAGCCAAACAGAGAGGAAGUUCAACUAUGAACGAGAUUACAAAAUCGUCUGAAGCUGUAACAGUGAAAACUACUUCAGGGAAGAAAAAGAAUAACAAAGGAAUCAAGAAGAAAAUUGAAGGUCUGAUGGAAGCUGGUCCUUGGUUAGUGAAGUUGCAUUUGCAGAUAAUGGCAUAG
rnacentral:lncRNA from 13 species